AUGGCGGCGCCCUCGGGGAAGGCCGCAAUGGAGCGGCACCAGUCGAUCGACGCGCAGCUGCGGCUCCUCGUCCCCGGCAAGGUCUCCGAGGACGACAAACUCGUCGAGUACGACGCCCUCCUCGUCGACCGCUUCCUCGACAUCCUCCAGGACUUGCACGGCCCCCACCUCCGCGAAUUCGUGCAGGAGUGCUACGAGCUCUCGGCGGAGUACGAGACCGAUCGGGACGAGGCCCGGAUAGCCGAGCUCGGGAGCAAGCUCACCAGUCUGUCCCCCGCUGACUCCAUCGUCGUCUCCAGCUCGUUCUCGCACAUGCUCAACCUCGCAAACCUGGCCGAGGAGGUGCAGAUCGCGUUCCGCCGCCGGAGCAAGCUCAAGCGGGGGGACUUCGGUGACGAGGCAUCAGCGCCCACCGAGUCUGACAUCGAGGAGACACUCAAGCGGCUGGUCUCCGAGCUCGGAAAAUCCCGUGAGGAGGUGUUCGAUGCACUCAAGAACCAGACUGUCGAUCUUGUGUUCACAGCGCACCCCACGCAAUCCGUCAGGAGGUCCCUGCUCCAGAAGCACGGGAGGAUCCGAAAUUGCCUGAGGCAGUUGUAUGCAAAGGAUAUCACUGCCGAUGACAAGCAGGAGCUCGAUGAGGCUCUGCAGAGGGAGAUUCAAGCUGCCUUCCGAACCGAUGAAAUCCGCAGGACACCUCCCACUCCCCAGGAUGAAAUGCGUGCCGGAAUGAGUUAUUUCCAUGAAACUAUAUGGAAGGGUGUACCAAAAUUCUUGCGCCGUAUUGACACUGCUUUGAAAAAUAUUGGGAUUAAUGAGCGUCUUCCUUACAACGCUCCUCUCAUUCAGUUCUCCUCCUGGAUGGGUGGUGACCGUGAUGGAAAUCCAAGGGUUACACCUGAGGUCACACGUGAUGUUUGCUUGUUAGCAAGGAUGAUGGCUGCUAACUUGUACUUCUCUCAGAUAGAAGAUCUGAUGUUUGAGCUUUCUAUGUGGCGCUGCAGUGAUGAACUUCGGGUCCGUGCAGAUGAACUACAUUGUUCCUCAAAAAAAUCUGCAAAGCACUAUAUAGAGUUCUGGAAGCAAGUUCCUUCAAAUGAACCUUAUCGUGUCAUACUCGGUGAUGUCAGGGAUAAAUUGUAUUAUACGCGCGAACGUUCUCGCCAUAUAUUGACAACUGGAGUUUCUGACAUUCCUGAGGAGUCUACUUUUACUAAUGUUGAGAUGUUUCUCGAGCCUCUUGAGCUAUGCUACAGAUCUUUGUGUGCUUGUGGUGACAAACCUAUAGCUGAUGGAAGCCUUCUUGAUUUCUUACGUCAAGUAUCAACUUUUGGGCUUGCUCUUGUGAAACUUGAUAUCAGGCAGGAAUCUGAUCGACACACUGAUGUCCUUGAUACUAUAACAACACAUCUUGGGAUCGGAUCCUACGCUGAAUGGUCUGAGGAGAAACGCCAGGAGUGGCUGUUGUCCGAACUAAGGGGCAAACGCCCAUUGUUCGGUUCAGAUCUUCCUCAGACUGAAGAAGUUGCUGAUGUUUUAGGCACAUUUCAUAUCCUUGCUGAGCUUCCAGCAGAUUGUUUUGGUGCUUAUAUCAUCUCAAUGGCAACUGCCCCAUCCGAUGUGCUUGCUGUUGAGCUUUUACAGCGUGAGUGCCAUGUAAAAAAGCCAUUGAGAGUUGUUCCACUAUUUGAGAAGCUUGCAGAUCUUGAAGCAGCUCCAGCAGCGGUUGCACGCCUAUUUUCAAUAGACUGGUAUAUGGAUAGGAUCAAUGGCAAGCAGGAGGUCAUGAUUGGAUACUCAGACUCUGGCAAGGACGCUGGGCGUCUCUCUGCAGCGUGGCAAAUGUAUAAAGCACAGGAAGAGCUCAUAAAGGUUGCAAAGCAUUACGAAGUAAAGUUGACAAUGUUUCAUGGAAGAGGUGGAACGGUUGGCAGAGGAGGGGGUCCCAGUCAUCUUGCCAUAUUAUCUCAACCACCAGACACAAUACAUGGAUCACUCCGUGUAACGGUUCAAGGCGAGGUCAUAGAGCACUCAUUUGGAGAGGAACACUUGUGCUUUAGAACUCUGCAGCGCUUCACUGCAGCUACUCUCGAGCAUGGAAUGCAUCCCCCAAUUUCACCCAAGCCAGAAUGGCGUGCUCUAAUGGAUGAGAUGGCUGUUGUGGCAACAAAAGAGUAUCGAUCAAUAGUCUUCCAAGAACCACGCUUUGUUGAAUACUUCCGCUCGGCAACACCUGAGACUGAAUAUGGUCGGAUGAAUAUUGGCAGCCGGCCAUCGAAGAGAAAGCCUAGUGGGGGCAUAGAAUCACUCCGUGCAAUUCCAUGGAUCUUUGCUUGGACACAGACAAGGUUUCAUCUUCCUGUAUGGCUUGGAUUUGGUGCAGCAUUUAAACAUAUCAUUCAGAAGGACAUCAGGAACAUCCAUACUCUGAAAGAAAUGUACAAUGAGUGGCCAUUCUUUAGGGUCACCCUUGACUUACUUGAGAUGGUUUUUGCCAAGGGAGAUCCAGGAAUUGCUGCUUUAUAUGACAAAUUGCUUGUGGCUGAAGAUCUGCAGUCCUUUGGGGAACAGUUGAGACAAAACUUUGAAGAGACAAAACGGUUACUCCUUCAGGUUGCUGGUCACAAGGACGUUCUUGAAGGGGAUCCUUACCUAAAGCAGCGUCUGCGGUUGCGUGAGUCCUACAUCACAACCUUGAAUGUUUGCCAAGCCUACACCCUGAAGCGGAUAAGAGACCCCAGCUUUGAGGUGACGCCACAGCAGCCGCCCCUGUCCAAGGAGUUCAGCGACAAGGAGCCCGCGGAGCUGGUGCAACUGAACCGUGGGAGCGAGUAUGCCCCAGGCCUGGAGGACACCCUCAUCCUGACUAUGAAGGGCAUUGCUGCUGGCAUGCAGAACACAGGCUAG
rnacentral:rRNA from 1 species